rnacentral:rRNA from 1 species
GGUGAAGACGUGGGCGCAGGCGCGGGAAGACGUGGGGGGGGGGGGGUGUAGGGAAGUGUUGGGCGGAGAUGGCGCGGAGGCGGCGUGGCGGGUCUGCUGGGAAAACGCGGGGCUUAACGCCGCGCGUGCAGUGGGUACGGGCAGGCUAGAGUGUGGUAGGGGGGACUGGAAUUCCUGGUGUAGCGGUGGAAUGCGCAGAUAUCAGGAGGAACACCGAUGGCGAAGGCAGGUCACUGGGCCAUUACUGACGCUGAGGAGCGAAAGCAUGGGGAGCGAACAGGAUUAGAUACCCGAGUAGUC